rnacentral:rRNA from 1 species
AGCUCCAAUAGCGUAUAUUAAAGUUGUUGCAGUUAAAAAGCUCGUAGUUGGAUUUCUGUUCUUGGGGGGCGGUCCGCCGCAAGGUGAGCACUGCUUUCUCUGGGGACAUCCUCUCGAAGGCGGGUGGUGCACUUAAUUGUGUGGUGCCUGGAUUCGGGACCUUUACUUUGAAAAAAUUAGAGUGUUCAAAGCAGGCGUCGGCUUGAAUACAUUAGCAUGGAAUAAUGGAAUAGGACUUUGGUUCUAUUUUGUUGGUUUCUAGGACCGAAGUAAUGAUUAAUAGGGACAGUUGGGGGCAUUAGUAUUUAAUUGUCAGAGGUGAAAUUCUUGGAUUUAUGAAAGACUAACUACUGCGAAAGCAUUUGCCAAGGAUGUUUUCA